rnacentral:rRNA from 1 species
UGGGGAAUAUUGGACAAUGGGCGAAAGCCUGAUCCAGCCAUGCCGCGUGUGUGAAGAAGGCCCUAGGGUUGUAAAGCACUUUCAGUAGGGAGGAAAGGUGCGUAGUUAAUACCUGCGUACUGUGACGUUACCUACAGAAGAAGCACCGGCUAACUCCGUGCCAGCAGCCGCGGUAAUACGGAGGGUGCAAGCGUUAAUCGGAAUUACUGGGCGUAAAGCGCGCGUAGGCGGUUACAUAAGUUGGAGGUGAAAUCCCCGGGCUCAACCUGGGACCUGCUUUCAAAACUGUGUGACUAGAGUGCAGCAGAGGAUAGUGGAAUUUCUAGUGUAGCGGUGAAAUGCGUAGAUAUUAGAAGGAACACCAGUGGCGAAGGCGACUGUCUGGGCUGACACUGACGCU